rnacentral:lncRNA from 1 species
GGAGGGCAAGCUGGAGCCACUUGAUGAUGGGAUUUGAUUGAUGGGUUUGGGAUUUUGGAACCAAUGGGGGGCUCAUGCUUGUUAGAAAAUAUGCGCUGUUUGUGGGGACGGUAAUGGAUGGCAAGAGGUUGAAAUACCUUUUCUUUUGUCAUUGCUUUUCUGCUACCACUGCCCAUGGGUUAACAUGCCAUUGGUCUUUUCAGGUUAAUAAUCAGAAUCUUACCUGAAGGACUAGGGGGGGCUGGCAAUGGCAUAUUUCAGUAGCCUCGUGAGAUGAUCAUUUCACAACUUGCAAACAUUUAUUCUCGGUACUCGUAUGGAUAUAACGAUGUGAUCUUCAAAGACAGACACUCAUUCAAGUUCGAGUAACAUAAAAAAGGUUCAAUGUCUGCCUAUGUUUAUGCCAAUUGUAUUUGAUCAUUUGAAUUUGAUACCUUAAAAAUAAAGUAUAUACAUGUUUUAAAUAUGCUCUAUCAUAUUUUUUGAAGACUCAAUUAGAACAUUUUGAAAUUCCGAACCAUUUAAUAGAAACGUUUGGUGCAAUUAAUUGGAGUACGUUUGGACA